ACAAUGGAGAGUUUGAUCCUGGCUCAGGAUGAACGCUAGCUACAGGCUUAACACAUGCAAGUCGAGGGGCAGCGCGGGGUAGCAAUACCCUGGCGGCG
rnacentral:rRNA from 1 species